rnacentral:rRNA from 1 species
UACGGAGGGUGCGAGCGUUGUCCGGAAUCACUGGGCGUAAAGGGCGCGUAGGCGGCAUGCCAAGCGUGUGGUGAAAGCCCGGGGCUCAACCCCGGGUCGGCCGUGCGGACUGGCGUGCUCGAGCACUGUAGGGGCGGGUGAAUUCCGGGUGUAGCGGUGGAAUGCGUAGAGAUCCGGAAGAACACCGGUGGCGAAGGCGGCCCGCUGGGCAGGAAGGCUCGCAAGAGCCGGCCGACGCUGAGGCGCGACAGCGUGGGGAGCAAACAGG